rnacentral:rRNA from 1 species
UACGAAGGGACCUAGCGUAGUUCGGAAUUACUGGGCGUAAAGCGCGCGUAGGCCGUGGAGUUAGUUAAUUGUGAAAUCCCAAAGCUUAACUUUGGAACUGCAAUUAGAACUGCUCGACUAGAGUUUGAUAGAGGAAAGCGGAAUACAUAGUGUAGAGGUGAAAUUCGUAGAUAUUAUGUAGAACACCAGUUGCGAAGGCGGCUUUCUGGAUCAACACUGACGCUGAGGCGCGAAAGUAUGGGUAGCAAAGAGGAUUAGAUACCCUCGUAGUCCAUACCAUAAACGAUGAUUGCUAGAUGUUGGAAAUUUAUUUUCAGUAUCGCAGCUAACGCAUUAAGCAAUCCGCCUGGGGAGUACGACCGCAAGGUUAAAACUCAAAUGAAUUGACGGGGACCCGCACAAGCGGUGGAGCAUGUGGUUUAAUUCGAAGAUACGCGCAGAACCUUACCAACCCUUGACAUGUCUGUCGCGAGUUUAGGAAACUAGACUUUUCGGUUCGGCCGGACAGAACACAGGUGCUGCAUGGCUGUCGUCAGCUCGUGUCGUGAGAUGUUGGGUUAAGUCCCGCAACGAGCGCAACCCCUACUUUUAGUUGCCAUCAGGUCAUGCUGGGCACUCUGAAAGAACUGCCAGUGAUAAGCUGGAGGAAGGUGGGGAUGACGUCAAGUCCUCAUGGCCCUUACGGGUUGGGCUACACACGUGCUACAAUGGUAGUGACAAUGAGAUGCAAGGUGGCGACGCUAAGCUAAACUCAAAAAUCUACCUCAGUUCGGAUUGCACUCUGCAACUCGAGUGCAUGAAGCUGGAAUCGCUAGUAAUCGUAGAUCAGCGUGCUACGGUGAAUACGUUCCCGGGUCU